rnacentral:rRNA from 1 species
GAUGAACGCUGGCGGCGUGCCUAAUACAUGCAAGUCGAGCGAACAGACGAGGAGCUUGCUCCUCUGACGUUAUCGGCGGACGGGUGAGUAACACGUGGAUAACCUACCUAUAAGACUGGGAUAACUUCGGGAAACCGGAGCUAAUACCGGAUAAUAUAUUGAACCGCAUUGUUCAAUAGUUAAAGACGGUUUUGCUGUCACUUAUAGAUGGAUCCGCGCCGCAUUAGCUAGUUGGUAAGGUAACGGCUUACCAAGGCGACGAUGCGUAGCCGACCUGAGAGGGUGAUCGGCCACACUGGAACUGAGACACGGUCCAGACUCAUACGGGAGGAAGCAGUAGGGAAUCUUACGCAAGGGGCGAAAGCCUGACGGAGCAACGCCGCGUGAGGGAUGAAGGUCUUAGGAUCGUAAAACUCUGUUAUUAGGGAAGAACAAAUGUGUAAGUAACUAUGAACGUCUUGACGGUACCUAAUCAGAAAGCCACGGCUAACUACGUG